AAGUCGUAACAAGGUUUCCGUAGGUGAACCUGCGGAAGGAUCAUUGAAAAUACUGGCCGAAAAGGCCGGGUUCUUGUGGAAUCCAAUUUUGGUUUUCUCUUGAGCGCCACGUGUGAAAGGUCCAGCUGUGAAUUUAAAAGCUGGUCCUGGUUUGUUAUGAGCCAGUGACUAUCUUUCAAAAUUUUUCUGCUGCCCUGUAGCACUGACAGAGUCGGAGAACUCUUUUCACUGUUUUUUUUUUGUUUUAUGACAAAACACCUAUAAAUUUUAGUCUGAUGAGUUCAAGGUUUCAAAGUCUGCUUAGGACUUGGAAAUUUUGUGCAAACUUUAUACAACUUUUAACAAUGGAUCUCUUGGCUCUC
rnacentral:misc_RNA from 1 species